AUGGCCAGAUCUGGAGGGUCCCCGUAUGCAUCAAUCCUGCUUGUUCUGUGCAUUUUCCAGGUGACGGUCGUAAGGGGACAAAGCACUCACCCUAUUGAAGCAAAUGCUCUCAAUGCUAUCAAAGCCAGGUUAAUUGAUCCUAUAAACAAACUUAAGAAAUGGAAUAGAGGAGAUCCAUGCACAUCAAACUGGACAGGAGUCAUCUGCCACAAGAUACCCAGUGAUACAUAUCUUCAUGUAACAGAGUUGGAGUUGUUUAAGAUGAAUCUUUCUGGAACUUUGGCACCGGAGAUUGGUCUCCUGUCUCAGCUGAGAAACUUGAAUUUUAUGUGGAACAAUUUGACUGGUAACAUCCCGAAAGAGAUAGGCAAUAUCACAACACUCAAUCUUAUAGCUUUGAAUGGUAAUCAACUAUCUGGUUCCCUACCAGAUGAGAUUGGCUAUCUCAAGAACUUAAACAGAUUGCAAAUCGACCAAAAUCAAAUAUCUGGACCCAUACCUAAGUCGUUUGCUAAUUUAACAAGCAUAAAGCAUCUUCACAUGAACAAUAAUUCAUUAAGUGGGGAAAUUCCAUCUGAGUUGUCCAGAUUGCCUGAGCUCCUUCAUCUGCUUGUGGAUGCCAAUAAUUUGUCUGGACCUCUUCCUCCAAAAUUAGCGGAGACGCGUAGUUUAAAAAUCAUUCAGGCUGAUAAUAAUAACUUCAGUGGAAGCUCCAUCCCUGCUACAUACAACAACAUACCGACACUUUUAAAGCUGAGUCUUAGGAAUUGCAGUUUGCAAGGAGUUAUUCCCGAUCUGACUGGCAUACCUGAACUUGGCUACUUGGAUCUUAGCUGGAACCAACUGACAGGAUCUAUACCAGUUGAUAGACUCGCUUCAAAUAUUACCACGAUUGAUUUAUCGCAUAACUUUCUGAAUGGAACUAUUCCGGCAAACUUCUCCGGGCUGCCUAAUCUUCAGUUCUUGAACUUUGAAAGCAACUCCCUUGACACAAUUCCAGCAGCAUUUGAGCCGCCAAAAGCUGUCAUUGUACUGCUUUCUGGAAACCCCGUAUGUGACAAUCCAGCUCGAGCGGCGGGACUUUGUCAACCGAAAUCUGUAAGCGAAGCACCAUCUGGACAGGGACCACAAGUUAGUAUAGACUGUGCUUCUUGCCCGACGGAUAAAAAUUAUGAAUACAAUCCAUUAUCCCCUAUACCAUGCAUUUGUGCUGCGCCUCUUGGAGUUGGAUUUCGGCUGAAGAGUCCAGGGAUCUCAGACUUCCGGUCCUACAAAAAAGCCUUUGAGAUGGACUCAACCUCUGUACUGAACCUGAGUAUUUACCAGCUAUACAUUGAGCGGUACACAUGGGAGGCUGGUCCAAGGCUGAAUAUGCAUUUGAAGUUAUUCCCAAAUAACACUAAUUUAUUCACUAUGUCGGAAGUUGUGCGGCUCAGGCAGUUACUUGCUGGAUGGGAGAUUACUCUGUUAGACAUUUUCGGUCCUUACGAGCUUCUCAAUUUCACGCUUGGUUCCUAUGAAGAUGAAUUCCCAGAUGCAGGGUCAUCAGGUUUAAAAAAGGGCACACUAGCUGGGAUUUUGGUAGGAACAAUUAUUAGUGCUAUUGCAGUUUCUGUGGUUGCAACAUUUUUUAUGAUGAGAAGACGCUCAAAACGUCAAAUAGUUUCGAGGCCUUCAAUACUGUCGAGGCUUUCUGUCAAGGUUGAUGGUGUAAGAUCCUUCACGUUGGAAGAAAUGGCUACAGCAACAAAUAAUUUUGAUGAUUCAGCUGAAAUCGGUGUGGGAGGUUAUGGAAAAGUCUAUAAAGGAAAUCUAGCUGAUGGAGCAACCGUUGCAAUCAAACGAGCACAUGAAGAUUCUCUGCAAGGUUCAAAUGAAUUUGUCACAGAAAUAGAAUUGCUGUCAAGAUUGCAUCAUCGUAAUUUGGUAUCUCUUAUUGGCUAUUGUGAUGAAGAAGUUGAACAGAUGCUGGUGUAUGAAUUCAUGCCAAAUGGCACUCUACGUGAUCAUCUUUCUGAAACUUGUAAAAGACCUCUGAACUUUUCUCAGAGGUUGAAUGUUGCGUUGGGCGCUGCAAAGGGAAUCCUCUAUCUACACACCGAGGCAGAUCCUCCUAUAUUUCACCGUGACGUUAAGACGACCAACAUUUUAUUGGACUCCAAGUUCGCAGCGAAGGUGGCUGACUUUGGUCUUUCAAAGCUUGCUCCGAUCCCGGAUGUUGAAGGAACAUUGCCAGAACAUAUCUCCACUGUUGUUAAGGGCACUCCGGGCUAUCUUGAUCCAGAAUACUUCCUAACAAAUAAGUUGACAGAAAAAAGUGAUGUUUAUAGCCUUGGUGUUGUGCUUCUUGAACUAUUGACCGGAAUGAAGCCAAUCCAGUUCGGUAAAAACAUCGUUAGAGAGGUAAAGGCAGCCUACCAAUCCGGAGACAUUUCCAGGAUCAUCGACAGCCGGAUGUCCUGGUGCCCUCCGGAACUCGCCACGAGAUUCCUCUCGCUGGCCCUGAAGUGCUGCCAGGGCGACACCGACGCGAGGCCUUACAUGGCCGACAUCGCCAGGGAGCUCGACGACAUCCGCAGAGCUCUGCCUGAAGGAGAAGACCUCCUGUCUGUGACCUCCAUGGAGACGGGCUCCUUGGCCACACUGACUCAAUCUACAUCCAACUCCUUCAUAACGACCACCGGAGAGCAUUUCGACUCGUCCCACGCCUCCGGCAGCAGCCUUAUGGACAGCGGCGUCCCUUCCAGGAUGGCGGUGACUCCCCGUUAG
rnacentral:rRNA from 1 species